rnacentral:tRNA from 1 species
UUAAUUAAAACCAAAAAGAGGUAUAUUACUGUUAAUAAUAAAAUUGAUAAUUUUAUCUAAUUAAA